GGCCAGUUGUGAAGAGUAAAGUCAGGCAUUUCAACGAGAUGAGAAUGGCUGAUCAAGGCCCUGAAAAGGCCGGCGUCGGCGGUUCAAGUCCGUCCCUGGCCACCA
rnacentral:tRNA from 1 species